GUCUAUGGCUGUACUACCCUGAACGCGUUGGAUCUUGUCUGAUCUUGGAAGCUAAGCAGGGUCAGGUCUGGUUAGUUCUUGGCUGUGAGAGUGCCUGAGAAUAUGGGGUACUGUCGACU
rnacentral:rRNA from 1 species